GGUCUGAGGAGGGGGCACCCCCGUGAGGGAAGGGGAUGGGAACCCUCUGAGGGGGAUGAUCUGGGGGGGUCUGAGGAGGGGGCACCCCCGUGAGGGCGUUCAGGGGACUCCACUGAGGGAGGAGGUUGGGGAAUCCUCUGAGGGGGUGAUCUGGGGGGUGUCUGAGGAUGGAGGGGCCCCGUGAGGGAGUCGGGGGACCCCCCCAUGAGGGAAGGGGCUGAGGGACCAUCUCUGGGGGAUGGUCUUGGGAGGUUUUUUGGAAGCUGAAGAAGGGCAGCUUUAGAUUAAAUAGUGGGGAUAAAUUGUUUUACUGUGUGGGUGGGGAGGCCCUGGCACAGGUCGCCCAGAGAACUGUGGAUUCCCCAUCCCUGGAAGUGUCCAAGGCCAGGUUGGACAGGGCUUGGAGCAACCUGGGAUGGUGGAAGGUGUCCCUGCCCCUGCCAGGGGGUGGAAUGAGAUGAUUUUUAAGGCCUCUUCCAACUGAAACCAUUCCAUGCUUCCAAGAUGUUUCAAAGAUGCUAAAUACAAGGGAAACAGUGGUAAAUGUAUCCCUGAUCCCACUUUUUCCCAGGAAACGGUGCAGAACCAGGUGAAGACUCAUCCAGAGAGAACAAACCCCAUCACCAACACCGUGGCUCUCACCACUCUCAUUCUUCAGCAGGCACCAAACCCACCUCAGGUCUGCAUUGAAUAGGAGUCACUGUGGUCAAUUGGAGGAAGAAACAUUGUUUUUGGGUCCAGGAGGGCUUGUUUAUGUCCUUUCAAUCCCCCUCCCACUGCAGGGGACGUGGUUUUCCCGGAGCUGAACCCCAGAGGGGAGCAGGAAAGGCCCAAAAUGCUGAAAUCCAGUGACACACGUGGCCAAACUGUGCAGCAAAGGGGCAAGGAAUGGAAAAAUAUUCUUUAGUUUUCACAGUUUUGAAAGUAGACCCAUCCACACCCCUCAGUCAGACCCAGCACAUCCAGGACCACCGGGAAUAGCUUCGUGGGGGCUUUAAAUUCAAUUAAAAUUGAAUAUACUUCAUAGCUGGUUUUUUUUAUCUCUGGGUGAUGAAAUUGUUGCAAUAUUGUUGGCAGUUUAAGAGGUGGAAGCCAGUUUGCCUUAUUUUGGGCCAAGAAAUAGAUGAUGAUAACACUUGGGUGACUUUGGGUUGUUUAUUUAUUUACUUAAUCCCAGUGGAAACUAAAUAAAAUGAACAGCGUGUGGAUCCCAGAGGAGAUAAAUGGAUUUUUGUCAACCA